rnacentral:lncRNA from 1 species
UUUGAUAGAGAAGGGACAGGGAACAGAACCUUCGCCCCCCGCCUGAGCAGCUGGUAGACUAGAUAUCUUCCAAACAUUAUCUCAUUUACUUCCCUGGAGUUACAAAUAGGUAGAUUUCAUGUCCGUUGAGGGGUGAGAAAGCUGAAACUUUGAGACUUAAGAAUCCUGGCCGAGGUCAGCCUCCUCCGAAGCUUCAUCUCUUGCCACCACUUUCUGGUGCACACCUAGGACAGAUUUCAAUCCCUGAGAUCCCAGGAUGAAACCUAUGUUUGCCAAAUACCAGCUACUGUGCCAGAAGAGAUCAUGGAACCAGGUGUGGAAAGCUGCUUGAGAAGAGGAGCCAAAACAUCAUAGUUGAACCGUCCUGGAAUAGAAACUCGCCCUGAAUUCUUUCUUGUGUGAAAUCCAAGAGCCCUCUCUUGGGGUUGGAUCGGGACCCUGUUCCUGUAACAAGUCCACAAUGCCAGAGAAUUAAAGAGAACCACAAAGCUGAACCUCAAAAAGUUAGCCUGGCGAGGGGAGGAUGAUGAGAUUUCCCCUGUUGUCACAUAAACAAGGAAGUAAAGGGGGCCCCUUGUGCUCUCAGAACUCCAAGCAUGAAACGAUAGCAAAGGGAAAAACAGCUAAGUGUUUCCUGGCUGAAUUUUAUUUUGCUUUCAGUUUCUGCCAUUUCAGUUCCUGUUAUCGUGCUUUGAGGUGCACUGAACUGCAGCAAACCCAGGGGAUCCAAGGCUACGUUGAAAAGCCUUUGACCACAGUGCAGGGAGCAGAAGACAUUAAUGACGUGAUGUCGACACAGCCCGCACUCAGGAUCCUCCAGGAAAAGAACACAGAGAUAACCCCGGAUCGAUGGUACUUUUUGAAAAUGCUUUAUUGCAAAAGAGUGGCUAGGGUUUUACAAGGGCUAUGAAGAAACAUAUUAAGGUUAAUAAAGCUUUUUAUUGAGUGUUUA